rnacentral:snoRNA from 1 species
AAAUGCUAAACUUUUCCCCUGACCUUGGUAGUGGCCAGGGUUGAGAUUCGGAGCCCAGAGUCACCAGGGGCAUCAGCUCACUGCCCACUGCCUACUGCUACGGUGUGGGAGGGUGAAACCCAGGUCCCGAAAGGC